CUUUUCCUGUCCUUGCAUCUCAGCUCCACCCACUUAGGAUGUGUGGGAAGGAUGCAAGGAUGAGAUCUGAGGAGAGAGGAAUUGGAGCAAGUCAAAUGGAAUAUCUUCACUCUCUCGAGCAUCACUUCAAAGCGACGUCACUUAAUGAUGACUGGGCUCAGCUGAAUGACCUCACUGUGCUUCAGGGAUCUGCUGUUAUGUUGUUGGAGCUCGGCUAAAUGCACUGAUAACGUAAAGGAGGAGGGGAAUUUAUACAUGCGUGAGGUUUUUCGACAAGAAGCACUUCUGCAUAGGAUACACCUGUGUAUCCUUGCCCCUAGCUCCUCUGGAAGCUUCCUCACGCCUCGUUCCUCGCCCUCUCACGGUGCAGUUAGAGAAUUGAGAUGUCCUUCAAGAUGGUUGACUGUGAUCAAUUUCCGGGUCACGGGCUGGAGGACAGAGGAGUGAGGAAACGAGGAAGCGUCAAUUUGAGUAUUGUGAAGCACCCCUGGAGGACACCAAGUUCAUUCAUACAUAUUUCUUGUUUCA
ensembl:lncRNA